rnacentral:rRNA from 1 species
GAAAGUUGCAAAGUACUUUGAAGAGAGAGUUCAAGAGGACGUGAAACCGAUAGGAUGGAAGCAGAUGAAGUUGACGAACGAGUGUUGUAUUCAGAGCUGCAUCUUGUGUGCGGUUUGUUCUUGCAACCGAUGUGGGCCGGCGGUUCUGGUUAAUGCACUGUGCCAAUCGUCGAUGGUGACCCUGCGGAGGGAUACUCGGUCGGCGUGCGGUGCGUGGUAUAGCUAGGGUUUUGUCGCCGGUCUUGAAGUCAGCGCCUCAUCUGACCCGUCUUGAAACACGGACCAAGGAGUGUAGCGUUUACGCGAGUCUUAGAGUGUUUGAAAACUUUGAGGCGCAACGAAAGUGAAUGCAGCUUGACCUGCUGACUUGGGAUGCGUUGUCUCUUGUGGACGGCGUCGGACCAAGGUUUUAUCGCGAUCGCUUGCGAUGCGGUGAAAAUAGAGCGUAAACGGUGCGACCCGAAAGAUGGUGAACUAUGCCUGAGCAGGAUGAAGCCGGAGGAAACUCUGGUGGAAGUCCGAAGCGGUUCUGACGUGCAAAUCGAUCGUCUGACUUGGGUAUAGGGGCGAAAGACUAAUCGAACCAUCUAGUA